GAAGGUAUAGCUCAGUGGUAGAGUAUUUACCUCACAUGUAGAAGGCCCUAGGUUCAAUCUCCAGUACUACA
rnacentral:tRNA from 1 species